AGAUGGCGAUCGCGACAAAGCCUAGCCAGCGCCGCCGCGUACCGAGUCUUGCGUGGUGCCCGGUAACGGUUUGCGAAGCGUAGACAGGGAGGUUGCAGGCCGGAACAUCAGUGAACGGAAAGAUAGCCCCGAAAUCGAUCGUGGUUGAAGUAGC
rfam:Burkholderia sp. STM 7183 genome assembly, contig: CYGY01000027